UAUAUGUUAACUAACUAGAAUUUAAAUUAAAACUACAAAAAAAAAAAAAAAAAAAGAGAGAGAGAGAAAAGAAUAGAACUGGAUUAUCACUAUUCUGAUUUUGGAUCUCCCUCCCAUACAUGAAAAUAAAUCCUAAAAUAAUAAUAGUCUUUUAAUACCUAUGUGUUAAAUGAGCUUAAAUUAAUAAAACACUUUAGGUCAUGUUUCUGGGUGUAUUAAGUCAAAUUACCCUAAUCUUGAAAUUUUAGGGUUAUACCCAAUUGAUGAUCUUUGCAUUCAUGUCUGGCAAAGUUUAUCUUGUCAUUUUAUUUGCUGAAAAAACAUAGACACCCCACAGCCAUCUAUUCACAAAAACUGAAGGGUGAAAAGUCUACUCAGGAUAGGAAAAAAAGUCAAUAUGCUGUUUCAGGACACAAAAGUAAUAAGAAAACACAGCCCUAAAACACAGUUUGAGAAAUUCAAAACAGACAUUAAACAGCUAAUUUCUGUUCUUUUCAUCUGAAUGAAAGAUGAAAGUAUAAAAACCUUCCAAAACAUAGUAUUUCACGUGUCAACGCUCAUUGUGAUUUUUAAUCUAUAACAUGGAACCGAAUAAAUUCAACAAUGUAGAAAGAGCACAUAAUAGAUUCCAACCUAUAAAACAAACACUCUAGUCACAUUUGACUUGAUUUAAAAAUUGUAGUAUUUUUAUCGUCUGUUUUCAUGGAAUUACAAAGAUAACUAAACCAAUUGACUGGAAUAAUGUCAUGGUUUUUCCAUGGCACACACUACUGACUUCUUUAUCAAUACAAUCAGUGUUAGAAAUAAAAAAUAAAAUGGUUUCCAUUCAAAAUUUGUAAAAUAGGUUCAACAUAUUAUAUGGCGUAGAUACUUUCUUGUAUAUAAAAACAAGUUUUCUUGCUAUAUUUGUGGUUGGAAUUCUCUGCGUAAGCUACUUACAGGUAAUCUCAUAUGCAUUAUUAUUUAUUCAACAAAUACUGAUGUCCCUACAUAUGAGCCAGGCACAGUUCUUGAUACAGAAAAUAGUGCAGAGAAUAAAAUACAUAAGCAUUCCUGCCUUCAUGAAGUUUACAUUCCAGUGGAGAGGAGAAAGACAAUAAACCAAGCUGCCGGCAGCAAGCAUCUUUCAGAGCCAAGCACGAUGUCCCAUUUGCUGAGAUUUAUGGGAGAAAGCAGAUGUGAAACUUCCCCUGGAUGCACUCCUAUGAAGAUGCGAGGUCUCUCAACCCCUAACUUGCUGCCCAAAGGGGAUCUCGCCUGGGAAUGAAGCCUGCACCAGACAGAUCAAAAGGGGGACAACACUGGAACCCUACAACAAACCACGAGUAAAGCCAGAUUUAGGAUCAACCACCACUAGGUCACUGCAAGCCAACUGCUGGAAUGUCCAUCCUUUGUGGCCAAAUUAGCCCACGUUCUCUCUCCUCUUCAAUGAUGUCCUUUCAUGGCUUCCUCCAGCAUGAGUAGGAGGGUCAGGUGGAGAGACCGCGAACACUCCUUAAAAUAUUGUUAGAAUGCAAAACGAAAAUGGUUCCAUAAAGUCUAAAUAGUGAAAAGAAAAAUAAUUCUGGCGAACUGUUGAUAAAUUUGCUUGCUUCCCUUGAAGUUGGCUUUGCCAACAGAAUUUUCAACCAUGUGAGCUAAUAAAUUCCCUUUUAGCCCAAA